AACGAACGCUGGCGGCAUGCCUAACACAUGCAAGUCGAACGAAGCCUUCGGGCUUAGUGGCGCACGGGUGCGUAACGCGUGGGAAUCUGCCCUUGGGUUCGGAAUAACAGUUAGAAAUGACUGCUAAUACCGGAUGAUGUCUUCGGACCAAAGAUUUAUCGCCCAAGGAUGAGCCCGCGUAGGAUUAGGUAGUUGGUGGGGUAAUGGCCCACCAAGCCGACGAUCCUUAGCUGGUCUGAGAGGAUGAUCAGCCACACUGGGACUGAGACACGGCCCAGACUCCAACGGGAGGCAGCAGUGGGGAAUACUGGACAAUGGGCGAAAGCCUGAUCCAGCAAUGCCGCGUAAGUGAUGAAGGCCUUAGGGUUGUAAAGCUCUUUUACCAGGGAUGAUAAUGACAGUACCUGGAGAAUAAGCUCCGGCUAACUCCGUGCCAGCAGCCGCAGUAA
rnacentral:rRNA from 1 species